GAAUGUUAUACCACAAGCAGAGAAAAUGCUUUGUUAUCCCUAUUUAACCCUUAAAUGUCCCAAUGUAGGAUGGAUGCACGUGAGAUCUGUUCCAGUAGAGUAAUUUAAGGGUGCAACCAUGGGGAGAGAAAGACUGAUGGUUCCUGUUCUCAUCUGGCACUUAACAAACCAUCAUUUAAAUCUUUGAUCAGUCACUGAUCUGAGAGAAGUCCCUUUUGUCUUUGCCAUCACCAGCAUGUGGUGUCUUAGAGGAGCUGGAAUCUGUUUCUUGGAUGCCUUGAGUAUGAACAGAGCUGUCCAGAAAGCCAAAAGCAGCCUGACAGACAAACAAGGAAAUAUUCAGGGAACUUUGAAGGUGCUGAAAAGCAAAGUUAUUCCAGAUAAGCUCUGGAACAUACUGCCAUGAGAUAAUACCAGGACCAGAUGCUGGUUGGGAUUAAAAAAUAUGUAGAUAUGUUGAUAAUGGGAAUAUCUGCUCUCAUAUUACCCAGUUUUUCUUUUUUAAGGGAUGUUAAUCCUGAUGCUUUAAAGGCAUAUGCUGAAUCCUGAGGAUAUAGUUAUUUAAGGAGCACUUUGCUGGUAAAUAAGGGGAGGAUUAGUGCCUGGAUGGUGGCCUAGCUGGAGGGAUCUCAAGAUUGGGAAGGCUGUAGAUGUGAGACAAUACCUACAUAUCUGAUCCCUGCUGAGUGUCCUCACACUUGCCAGGAGGGAUGAACUUUGUUUAGUGUGCCCUUGCCAAAAGCCUAAGGAAGCACAAGCACAGGAUAGAACCAUAGAAUUGUUAUGGAUGUAAAAGACCUCCAGGGUCACUGGGUCCAGCUGUUCACCCAUGCUGUGUUCACCACUAAGCCACGUCCUCACAUCCACGUGCCUUUUGGACACUUCCAGGGAUGGUGAUUCCAGCACUUCCCUGGGCAGCCUGUUCCAAUGAUGAUGUGCAGGCCACUGCACAGACCUAGAGUCCUGAGUGACAUAGUCAGACCCCUCUUGUAUCAGGGAGGAGCUGUGAUUGUGAAAUGCUGUGAUUGGUGGUAGUGAGGGUCUAAACUGUGAUGUGUUGGAGUGAACACACCAUCAGCUUUGAAAACAUCUUUCUAUCCCCCAUGCUUCCCAUGAUGCUUGGGAUGAUUAAAUUGAAUUUUGGUGGAAGAGAAAA